ACAUGCCUACAACAUAGCGUUAAUUCAUUGGAUCCCAUUAUAACUUCGCAGUUAAGCGCACUCAAUCUAGAGUAGUACUGGGAUGGGUGACCACCUAAGAAGUGCCAGUUUUUUACAUGCC
rfam:Picea glauca, whole genome shotgun sequence.